rnacentral:lncRNA from 10 species
AAAUGUAGAAACAUUGGAACUGCAUGGGUCCUUUCAAAGCUCUUGGCCCGCUCUUAAUGUUGUCAUACACACUGCAUCUACACACAUUGUAAAUAUUUUUUUUUACUUUUCUUGUUCACUGAGGUCUUAUUAACAUAUACUUCAUGUUUUCCCAUAUAUUACGUCUGUUUUAUAGCAACAAUCCACUCAUUAACACCUCCUUAGUACUUCAUUAAAAUGUUUUAUCCAAAUAUACUAUUGGAUUUUUUAAUUUGUUUGUUUUGGAUAGUGGGGAAAUAGUCACAGAAAGGAAAUGAUACCUACGGUUCAUAAGCCUGGAAACUCUUACUAAAUGCAAACAAGCUGACAUUCAUAGUUAAGUGACUACAAGAAGCAAUAGCUUAAAAAUCGUGCUGUUGGACUUCAAUAUAUUUAUCUUUUGCAUUUAUUAGCAUGAAUAAUAAUUCACUAAUGUGUGUCUGCUAGGUACAAAACACCAUGCUAAG